rnacentral:rRNA from 1 species
AUUGAACGCUGGCGGCAGGCCUAACACAUGCAAGUCGAGCGGAGCGGCGGACGGGUGAGUAAUGCCUAGGCAUCUGCCUGGUAGUGGGGGAUAACGUCCGGAAACGGGCGCUAAUACCGCAUACUAUCAGAUGAGCCUAGGUCGGAUUAGCUCGUUGGUGGGGUAAAGGCCUACCAAGGCGACGAUCCGUAACUGGUCUGAGAGGAUGAGCAGGUAAACUGGAACGGAAACACGGACCGGACUCCAACGGGACGCGGCGGUGGGGAAUAUUGGACAAGGGGCGAAGGCCUGGUCCAGCCAAGCCGCGUGUGUGGAAGGGGUCUUCGGAUUGGAAAGCACUUUAAGUUGGGAGGCGUUACCAACAGAAUAAGCACCGGCUAACUUCGUGCCAGCAGCCGCGGUAAUAC